CUCACCAAGGCGACGACGGGUAGCCGGCCUGAGAGGGCGACCGGCCACACUGGGACUGAGACACGGCCCAGACUCCUACGGGAGGCAGCAGUGGGGAAUAUUGCACAAUGGGCGAAAGCCUGAUGCAGCGACGCCGCGUGAGGGAUGACGGCCUUCGGGUUGUAAACCUCUUUCAGCAGGGAAGAAGCGAAAGUGACGGUACCUGCAGAAGAAGCGCCGGCUAACUACGUGCCAGCAGCCGCGGUAAUACGUAGGGCGCGAGCGUUGUCCGGAAUUAUUGGGCGUAAAGAGCUCGUAGGCGGCUUGUCGCGUCGGUUGUGAAAGCCCGGGGCUUAACCCCGGGUCUGCAGUCGAUACGGGCAGGCUAGAGUUCGGUAGGGGAGAUCGGAAUUCCUGGUGUAGCGGUGAAAUGCGCAGAUAUCAGGAGGAACACCGGUGGCGAAGGCGGAUCUCUGGGCCGAUACUGACGCUGAGGAGCGAAAGCGUGGGGAGCGAACAGGAUUAGAUACCCUGGUAGUCCACGCCGUAAACGGUGGGCACUAGGUGUGGGCGACAUUCCACGUCGUCCGUGCCGCAGCUAACGCAUUAAGUGCCCCGCCUGGGGAGUACGGCCGCAAGGCUAA
rnacentral:rRNA from 1 species